rnacentral:rRNA from 1 species
AACGAACGCUGGCGGCGUGGAUAAGACAUGCAAGUCGAACGGAUUCAGUCUUGUAGCAAUACAAGGCUGAGUCAGUGGCGCAAGGGUGCGUAACACGUGGGCAACCUGCCCUGGAGACUGGGAUAGCCCGCCGAAAGGCGGAUUAAUACCGGAUGCGGCUACCAAGGAAUCUUUGGGACGCUAAAGGUGGCGCAAGCUACCGCUCUUGGAUGGGCCCGCGGCCUA